AGCUCCGGGAUGAGCGCACCGAUGGUAUUCUGAAGUCUCAAGAAGCUAGCCCAUUUAAAUGCUCAUAGCCCAUGAGAGAGGCAUCAAAGAAGCCAUGGCACUCCCUUUUCAGAAAGAGCUGGAGAAAUACAAGAACAUUGAUGAAGACGAGCUUCUUGGCAAACUGUCAGAAGAGGAACUGAAACAGUUGGAAAAUGUUCUUGAUGACCUAGAUCCUGAGAGCUCACGGCCGAAAGACCAGACACAAAAAGCAGCCACCGGCCCAUUUGACCGUGAGCACCUUCUCAUGUACCUGGAGAAGGAGGCUCUAGAACAGAAAGACAGAGAAGACUUUGUGCCCUUCACUGGGGAAAAAAAGGGGAGAGUCUUUAUCCCCAAAGAAAAGCCAGUAGAAACUCUCAAAGAAGAAAAAGUGACCCUCGACCCAGAACUGGAAGAAGCUUUGGCUAGCGCCUCCGACACUGAGCUCUAUGAUCUGCAGCUGUUCUUGGAGUACACAAUUUGCUCAACAAUCCCAAAUUCGAUGAAGAAAUCAGCACUAAAAGUGGCAAAGGGCCUGUAAGAAUGUGGUCAAAGUUGAAAAGGUCAAGCCAGUAUUUGAGGAACCACCAAUCCCACAAAUGUGGAAGCAAGUCUGCAGCAGAUGAAAACCAAUGAUCCUAGCCUGCAAGAAGUCUACCUCAACAACAUUAAGAAUAUCCCAAUUCCAACCCUGAAGGAAUUUGCAAAGGCUCUGGAGACCAACACUCAUGUAAAGAAGUUCAGUCUGGCUGCAACACGCAGCAAUGAUCCUGUGGCAAUUGCUUUUGCAGAUAUGCUGAACGUAAACAAGACCUUGAAAAGUCUCAACAUAGAAUCCAACUUUACCACUGGAACUAGGAUUCUGGCCCUGGUAGAGGCACUGAGAGAAAAUGACACCUUGACAGAGAUUAAGAUCGACAACCAGAGACAGCAGUUGGGAACAUGGUAUUUGAAUCCCUUCCUACCUGAUGAGCUUAUCUUCAGGCACCAUAUCUGA